GUGAGCUGAGAACAUUCUGUAGAUUAAUUAGGUUCUCUCCUCUGGCUCAGCAGGUCUGUUCUAGCCAUUUGACCAAAGGCUCUCUGAUAUUUUCUACCAGCCUUAGAACGACAGUCUGCAGAUGUGUGCACAUAAAUGUCUGGGAGGAGCACACAGAUACUGUGGGAGGAGUGGGUCCGGCGUAGCUAUUGGGAGAUCUCGCUCGUACACAUGGCGCUACAUAGAAAGAAUGCCCUGAGGUGAAGGUGACAGCUCGGCAGUUUCUUAAUACCCUGAACUUGAGCGUGGCCUGCGCUAGAGAAAAUACACGGUGCUUCUUAAAAACAAAAGCCAGCAGCCUGCAAGAGGGCUGUGCCUGCGAGUUCCUGGGAGCAGGAGGGGGCUGUUCCUCCGCCCCUGGCUCCAGUUUCACCCAAGUCACUUCACAGCAGUUGGAAGGAGGUCACCAAUUGCUGCGGCCACACCAACAGACGUCGUCCGGCCUUCUUCACACGCAACGAAGCGCCCAGGUGGAAAUGCAUGUACCCGCGGCAGCUUCUCGGCAGCGGGCUUCCUGGGACGGAAGACACAGGCUCGCCCGAGGGAGACGGAAGCAGGGGAUCUGCUAGAACUCAGCUCGCCUCCUCCUUUCUCAGCAGGGCAGAGAAUCAUGGGCUUGUGCUGACGAAAGCUCCAGAAAAUGGACUCAUUUAACCUUUCCAAAGAUAUUAUCCAAGCUGCAAAAUCUUGGCAAUCUGAAGACCUUUUAAGUCGAUAUACCAAAGAGCUUUAGUCAGGAUUGAAUGCAAAAUGCCAAAAUUUCACUUUUAAAAUCAUCGUAACAUCUAAAUACAACCUAAGCACACUUGUAAACUGAUGCCGAACAGGCACUUGGAGAGCCCUCCCUGCACCCCUUCCUCGCCCCCUCCUUUGUGCAAAUGCUGUUUGCCCAGAACUUCAGCCACUGAAAAUCCUGGGAACUUUCUCUUCCUGGCUGCCAACCUAGCAGUUUGGACUCACAGACGAGAUUUUUAAAUCACUGAGGGAUUUAAGCCUCUCUGUGUCACAGAAAAGCGAACACCCUCCCAGUUGAAGGUGGCCCCAAAGAUGCGGGCCUGGGACCCAGGACUUCUGCAGGAGAGUGGACGCCUGGGUGCCCCCCGCCUUGCCCUGCACAUGGUAGGUGCUCAAUAAUUACACAAUAAAUAUUCACACAAAGCAGUGAUUCUGCCGAAGAGAUCCACUGCAAUGCACCUGGCUUCCUAGAAGCAAUAAAUGAAAAGCUUUUCUAUUUUUUUAAGAAAAGAAAAGAUUAAUGAAGCCCUGACGUAGAGGCAGAGAGCUCAACAGAAUCCAGUGACUCAAGGCGUGCGCAGAAGCAAUUUGCUUCUGAAACUCUAAACACCGUUCUUUAGUACUUCCUGACACUCCUCAGCAGCAAGCAAAUAAAUAUUUACAUGUGGAAGGAGACUGUCCUUUGAAAUAAUAACAGAGUACACCAGUCAUCAUAAGAAGAAAAAUUCACAUUUAAAGUUUGGAAAGCAACAGGACAAAGGUCUGUCUUCAGUGGUGCGUAGACAUGCUCGUGAUUGAAUUGGAAAUAGUUCUCUUUCCUUCUCUCUGACUUCCUAACUGAAAAGCUGCAGCGUGGGGAGAAAGGCUGCUCAGAAGCCUGGAGCCAGAACACGCACCCCGGCUUUUGCAGGGCCGGCUCACUUGGUUAGAAUCAAAGGAAAAGCCUUGUUAUUUGGGAAGCUGGGCGUCCUCACCAAAUUAGGGGAUUUAAUUUGCAGAUAUCUAAGGAGUGCUUUGAAAUGAAAGAUGAACUAAAAUCUGCUCUGAGGCCCGUGAUUUUUCACCAGUGAAGGACUCUCUUGCUGCUGGACAUACAUGAAAAGCAUCAUCUGAUCUGAAACGCAAGUCCCUGCAAGACAGAGGAGAGACUUUAUAAACAUUUUAUACCAUUCUAUGAAAUCAAUUCGAUUCAGGGCUAGAAUUCAAGAAGUAAUCCAUGGGCAAGUAUAUCUGAUGGUAAACCCAAACGAUUAUAUUGUUAACCUCUUGUACUUUUUUUAAUUUUUUAUUAUUUGAUAUUAUUAUCACAAAAGUCGCUGGAACAGGAUCCAUGAGCUGCUUCUUCACUGCUUAGUGUUUUCAGAAGCUGAUGGAUUAUUAAGCUCCAAUUGAAUACUUGAUUUCCAAUGAUUCCAUUAAUUUUUCUGGUUUGUGGUAGGAUUUGAUUUACUUAUUUUGUACUUUAACACACCAAUAAAAAAUAGAUACUAAGAAAUAGUGAAAUUUGUUGCUUCAAAAUAACCCUUAAAAUUUAGAGUUUAGUGAAAUUAAGCAAUUCAAAUAGAGAAACGAUUAUCCUUCAUUUCCUUAAGGCACAGAAAUUGAGACUAGGUUCAAGAACCUUCAUAUUUUAAAAACUGGAAAAUACUGGCUAAGUGAGGACUGGGCGGUCAUCCUCCACACAUGCUCUGUGUGCUUGGAGCGAAGAGGGGAACGCACUGAAUGAGAUGAACUGGAAGGAGGUGCAGCAGCGAAGGAAAUCCUUCUGUUGGGAGAGUUCACGUGUUUAGGAUAAUCCUUCGAAUAGGACGCAACAGUGAUGUGAGGAGAAGCUUUGGAGCUGAUUUAGAUUGAGACAGUCUAUCACAGGCUGUUUGGUUGCAUCCCUUUGGGGCCAGUCUCAUUUUAGGUCUAAAUAUGCAGGAAUGGGGCUCUGGCUUCCAGAAGUUUCAGGCUGCAAAAGGCUGGGGCCACCAUCUUUACAGAUAAUCCAUUAGUUUGAUUCUCUUGGGGGCCAGGAAGAAAACCAAGAACACUCAAUGGACUAUGGGACUCAAAUAAUCCACAGGAGGCGUUUGUAAAGGGGCAAAACUGUGUGUGCCCAGUAAUUCUUGGAGCUCGCAAUAGAGGUGGAGAAGCAGUGAUGGGCCCCACAGCAGCAGGGGCUUGGGAAUGACGGAAAAGAACAAAAUGAUGGAAGGACAGCUGGAAGAAACAGGGAAGCUUCCUUUUAACUGGAUGCUGGGUCUCAGCCUUGAAUAGUUCCUGGCCUUCGGAGGCCUUUUCUCAGGGAGCAUGGCCUGGGGACUCCCUGCUUGCUCUGCUGAGCUUUCAGGGAAGGAGAAAUGGGCAAGGCCAGAGGCGACCAUCAGGUGCUCCGUAGGCACAGAGGCAGAACUCAAGGUUUAGCUUUACCUUAAGAGGGUGACUGCAAAGUGUGCUCCCUGGACCAGGGGCCUCGGCCUCACCUGGGAGCUUGCUAAAAAUGCAAGUUGCUCUCACCCAGACUGAAUCUAAAAUUCUGGGUACAGCCCAGCAAUCUCUGCUCACACUUUCUCCAGAUGAUUCUGGUGCAAGCUAACCUUUCAAAAGUCCUGGGUCCCAUUCCCAGAGGCUGUGAUUAAGUUGGUCUAGGGCUGUGGCCUAGACCUGGGGAUUUUGGAAGCCCACAGGUGAUUCUGUUGUGCAGCCAUGGUUGGCAGGCUGUUCACGGUGCUGUUCAACAGGUCCUGCUGUGGGAUGGAAAGGGUCUGUAUCUGCACUGGCCAAUGUGGGAGCCAGCCCUGUGGCUAUUGAGCACUUGGCCCCUGGCUAGUGCAACUGAGGAGCUGAAUUUUUCAUUUCAUUUACUUUUAAUUAAGUUUAAAUAGCUAAAUGUGGCUAUUGUCUGCCUUAUUGGAUAGCAGAGUUCUAGAACCACAGAUAAAUGUAAUACUGUCCCUUUAGUUGAUUUAAAAAUCCAAUGCCUCUGUAAUCCUAGCACUUUGGGAGGCCAAGGUGGGCUGAUCACGAGGUCAAGAGAUCGAGACCAUUCUUGCCAACAUGGUGAAACCCCGUCUCUACUAAAAAUACAAAAAUUAGCCGGGCAUGGUGGCAGGCACCUGUAAUCCCAGCUACUCGGGAGGCUGAGGCAGGAGAAUCACUUGAACCCACGAGGCGGAGCUUGCAGUGAGCCAAGAUUGCACCACUGCACUCCAGCCUGGUGACAGACGGAGAUUCUGUCUCAAAAAAAAAUGCCUCACAGAGUUAAAUAUUUAAGUUGAUAAGAAAAAUGGUAGUCGAGUCUUUGAGGAUUAUUUUAAAAUCCACUUUUGGUGAUAAAUAGAUAAAAACAGUGUGGUAGGGCCCAGAAGUUCUUCCUGAUUUCUACCUGUUGGAGCUGAAUUCCUCAAUUUUACUUGUAGGAGAACGGCUUCCUAAAGGGCACCUUACCCAGCCAUUCCUGCAUGCAAGUGUGUAUGAGAACUGCAGGGGGCAUUAUAUGAAAAUCCAAUUCCUGGGCUCUAUCCCAGAUGUUCCUAUCCAAUAGGUCUGGGUUGGGGCCCUGGAAACUGCAUUUUUGGCAAACCCCUUACUGAUUUGGAUGCACAAGUUUCAAGGAACAGGCACUAAGGAUCGCUGAUGUAGAAUCUGUUUGUCCAUCCAGGAAAGCCAGAGUCACCACACUUGAGUAAAUGGGUUUUGAUGUAGGAAAGGUCUUUAUAAUUCUUUCAUGAAUUCACCAAACUUUAAAAACUGUACUAUUUUUGGCUGGGCUUGGUGGCUCACGCCUGUAAUCUCAGCACUUUGGGGGCCAAGGCGGGUGGAUCAUGAGGUCAGGAGAUCGAGACCAUCCUGGCUAACACGGUGAAAACCUGUCUCUACGAAAAAUACAAAAAAAAAAAAUUAGCCGGGCGUGGUGGCGGGUGCCUGUAGUCCCAGCUACUCAGGAGGCUGAGGCAGGAGAAUGGCGUGAACCC
rnacentral:lncRNA from 10 species